GCUACCGCCUGAUUCUGCACAGUGGAGUGUGACUAGAAAAAUAAGAACCAAGCUGCGUGGAGAGUGAGUUUAUAUGCUGUACGGUGAUUUUUUUUGUUGCUUCUACUCUCGUUGGUAAUCAUGCUGAUUCCUUCUAAGAUAUCGUCGGUGGAAGAUAUAAUGAAGGGCCGUUGUAAGGAAGUAGCAGCCGCAGCAGCACGCGAAAUAAAAAAAAAAAAGAAAAGUUGAUGGUGAAAUAACAUGCGCGAAAGCGUACGCGAAACAGGCAAAAUAGUAGAGGGGGAGAUCCUGCCGCGAACGGGUGGUAGGGGGUGUACGUACCGCGGAAGACUAGAUGACAAAUGCAGUGCCGGUCCGGGUGCCAGUUCAUCUCCAGAAGUCCUUGCGAAACGAAUCGCGCGGGAUUCGCUGCUGGCCAGUUUCUGUGAAUCGGGAGAAGAAGCCAAAUUAGUGACAAUUAUAGAAAUCAUCUCUUUGGCGCGCCGCGUCGGUGACCGAAGGCUGUGCUGUGCGAACGGGAAAGCGUUUUUUUUUUGUUUUAGCAUUCUGAGUAGGCCUUGCCAACAGUGGCGCCAUUCGCCUGUCGUGGGAGAAACAGUUCCGGUGAAAAUGCGAACGAAGGGAUGCGUUUUUCGCUACCCGACUGCCAUCCAGUGGGCAAGGUUGGAACCCUGGAGGAGUGAGACUUUGAUAAGGGACCUGUGUCUUAUCUGUGUGGUUUUUCACAGAACAUCUAGCCACACACAUUUGCUGCUGGAGUGCAAUCUAGUGCGCGCACACUAGUCAGCUUCCCUAUCCAGCGAUAAGGGCUUCGAACUCCUUCAAAGUGAAAGCGAGUGAUUUUUUGUUGUUGUUGUUGUUGUGGUGCUGAUAUGAUUCAUGGCCUACCGGUCAUCGUUCGGUUGGCCCGGGACGGCGCGUGUGAGUGGUUUCCUUGUGAAAUGCUAUCACUGAUAACGAGUACCGAGGGGUCGACGGUGGGAAAGGGGGGCCGCCGAAAGCUACGGCUGCUAGGGAACCGGAGCUGCAAUGGCAUGGAAGAAGAGUCCAGCAACUUGUGGCUCUCGAUAAGAAGACGACAGCCGGUCCACUUUCGACAAGUGAACGACUUGUUAAUAUGACAGUUCGGUACACAGAGCCGAACUGACGUGGGAUGAGCAAUACCGAAGGCGGACACCGGAGAACAAAGCAGACUUUCGCGCCGUGUAGACGGUUUUCCAGUGGAGCAAACCUGUGCGCCUGAUUUCGGAGAUUUUGUUAGCCGAAGCCCCUCUUAGAAGAAGUGGAAACAGCACCUAGCUAGCUGCUAGGCUGCCUGUGUGGUGGAGCCUUUCGUGCAGUCAACAUAGUUUUUGCUCCGGCAGUUGAUCGGCGAAGCGCAGCAAAUGUGGACCUUGGCAUUAGCCACAACAACACCGUCAUCAUCGUCAUCAUUAUCAUUAUCGUCAUCAUCGUCAUAAUCUUCAUUAUCCGAUCGUCAUUGGUAUCACCGGUGAAAAGUAGUGCUUAAACAUCCAACCACGAGUUUGUCAGCCAACCAGUCGAAGAUAGGCAAAAGACGAAAACACGUAAUCAAUCGCUUUGAUACGAACAAGUGCUAAACAUCGCGAACUGCCAGUGGUGUAGUGAAACCUAGGAGGUUCCGUGAAACUGACAAUCAUCGUGGCGAAAACAGUUGCAGAAAAACGACCACCUUAUGCCGCCCAAAAUAGUGAUUUACAAGUGAUCGACGACCUGUGGGAUUAUCCAAAUUGCAGAAUGGUCAGUGUAUCAAAAGUUACGUUGAUUUCAUCUCAAAGCGCGAGACGACCAGUUAAAUCGAUAAUCGACCGUUUGUCCACCAUCAGCAGCACCGCUUCAUCAUCAUCAUAAGCAUCGGAUGAUAUUCACAUGAUACAAAGAUGCAGCACGUGUUUUUCGCGUUUGUUAACAUCAACCAGUUCGCCGGUGACGAUGCGGUGAUCCGGCAUUCGCAAGUUGGUUCCUCGAUAAUCGAUCAUUGAUUCGCACCGGGGCAUCAGUCAGCCACUCUCUGAGUCAUCGAACGAGAACGAGCCAGAUAAAUUAUCUUCGUAGAACGAUUAUCGUUGGACGGAACAUAUGUGCCGGGGUCGGGUUGACUCCCUCCCCAAGAGCCGGCUGGCUGUCGGAGGAAAAAUUACACCCUAGUAAUUGACUUUGUGCACACUUGAUAGCUCCAAAACUGUUCGCUCCUACUAUCGCGUACCGCUUCGACACAAAUUAAGUCAUAAAGGGUAAUAAAAGCAAAAUUUAUUAUCAACCGAGGCUCCGAUGCCGGACGACGACGACGACGACGAGGGGCGACAGCGAAACCCGGAACGACCAGAACCCAAAAAUCGAUUCCUGCCCGGUUUGCCGACGGACGAAGAAGGAACGAAUGGAACGGUUUUAUGCCUUAGCCCCCGAAAAAAAAAGCCCAUAAAUAAGCGUUCGGCCAACGUCGAGUGCACUCCAUUACGUACCGACGUGGUGUGCCCAGCGAGUUCGUUCAGCAGAGCAAGCAAAAAAAACGUCGAGCAAUUUAUGACUUUAACUCCUAUGAUACCCACCACAGCCCAGAUCUCGCCCGACCGCCGUGCACACCAACCACCCGGAACACCCGUUCCCAACCCAAAACGGAUCACUUUAAUGCACAUUGUCCGACGGCGGUAUGCAAUUUCCCGAACGAAACCUGCCGAAAAGCAUCGUGGCUGCAACAAGGUGCACUAUUUUUGAAACCCCUCCCGGUAUGUGUCGAUAAUCGGCCGCAAAAGGGUGCCGUGAAAAUGUGUCAUAAAUUGGCGCACCCCCUCCGGGCGCUCAACCGGAGCAAAGCCUGUCCUGGCGAAUUAGGGCGGAGGGCGUGUUUUCGCAAUUUCUACCGUUUGUCCCACAUGGCUUGGCAUCGCAUGGCAUAGAAUCGCCUGCCGGACGCCAUAUUCGGUUCGGUGGAAGAAUAGUAGUGACAUGUGAUUUGCUCUCCUGUGCUCUGGAGAGAUGCUGACCACGGAUAAUAACUUCCGUACGGUGUGCCAUCGGCUUACCCUCGAUUCGGGCAUUCGCACGCAAACAUUUGUCGACGGUUUAAUUUGUUCGGUUUUGUGAUUAUGAUUAUGUGAGUAAUUGAGUUUAGAAUUCGAACUAAUUUAAUAAACAAAUCAUGGUUACUGUGGUUUGCCGGUGGCCGGGCAGUUGACUACGCCUACUACAUUUAUGUUGACGUAGAAUCACAAACGAAUUUCCAGACAUGACAGUCACGAUCUUUUUUUGGCGCACAUCUACGGUCCUCCGUGAAACUGGCACCAAUGGUGAUAAAUUGGUUGCACUGCUGAGUUCCCAUCAUCGCAUUCAUAAUGCAAAUGUCGAACCGUGAGAACCCUUUCGAUACGUUAGCUCAUUUGUAUAGAUUGAGAAUUAAUGGCACACUUUGGUCGAAAUGAUAACAAUCCAAUUAAUCUCGCGCUCCACCAAGCGGUGAGUGCGGUCAUUUCAGAAGGUACCGGGAACGGACCAGAUUUUUUUUUUAAUAUUUGUAAGCACGUACAUGUCUUUAUUAUUUGUCUUUAGUAGAAUGUUCUUUGAAGAACCGCUUGAUUGUUUCUGAAAAAAAUGAUAGCCACAAAAUUUGUAUCUAAUGUUUGGAAUAGGUCCAAACCCGGAGAUUUACAAUCCCAUUGUUGUUCAAGUCUGACAAUACCCACUUCAAGACAUUUCAGCAAAACGACUAACCAAAAAUUCGGAUAAAACGAAAAUAUUAGAAGAAGAUUAGAAGGCUUAUAAAUAAUCUAAUCUUGUCUAAAGUAAUUAUCCACACUGGAAAGUUCACUCGACACAACCGAAAGAACUUCUAAAUAGCACCUAGAAUGUGUCGGUCGGGUCGAUCUAAUUCGGAUGGAACUUUAUUUGUAACUGAUCGUACUCGGAACAAAAAAUGGUGGCUGGGUACUGUCUGGGACCUAACCGGAUGACGUUGGUCCUAAACUAUUCAUAUUACUGGGUUAAGUCCAACUGGAACUGAACCUGGUCUUACCAUAAUAAUGGAACCUUAGCAUAGAAAGUUCAGUUAGAGAUCCAAUCUCUCCAGAAUCUGGAUCGAAAAUGUGGUAGGUCCAGGUUCUGGUCCAAUUCCAGGUUCAUGAUUUGGAAGUUCCCGAUCUACUCAGAUUUAAAAAAAAAAAUGUGAAUUUACAUCGAUUUUCAUUCAACCAUUUGAAGUAGGAAAUCGAAUGGAAAAUUACCUUACAGUUCUUCAUUUUUCAAUAAAUUAGUAACAAAACUAAUCGUUUUUAGAAAUAUACAGUCUUGUAAAGAUUGUCCCAGAAAGUAUGGACGCACUUUGAUUUCGCUUUAAAUAAUUCACAAGUGUUAGAUAUUAAAAUUUCAUUCGAUAUACUGAUAAUGUUAGACUACAACAACAGAAUGUUAUUCUCAACAUUUGCUACUUAGCCAUUGCAGACUAACUGCCACACCUUCUUGCGAACGUUCCUUAUUAAAUUCCGUACAGACUUCUUGGCGACAAGUUUUGACACCUUUUUCUAAUCUUUUUCGAACUGUUGGAUGGUUUCGGUUGCCGAGACAUGUUUCCUAAGAUGUGCCUUCGUUAAUGCCCAAAAUUCCUCAAUUGGUCGAAGUUGUGGGCAGUGACAUUUUUGGUAGUAUACCAUUCUACCGUUGAUUUCUAGUUGUGGCAAGAAGCAAGAUCUGGCCAGAAGAUAACAGGAUCCUUGUGGCUUCGAAUCAUGGGUAGAAGUCGUUUUUGCAAACAUUUCACUGUUCAUUGAAGCGGUGGUGAUGAAGGGUUUCGAAAUCUUGCCGCAGCUACAAAUUGCUUUCCAGACCAUAGCUUGUUACCAAAUUUUUCGACUUCCGUAGAUGUCUCGGACUGGUUUAACACUUGUCCUUCUCGCACCGUAUAAUAUUGUGGUCCCGGCAAAGAUUUGUAAUCGGGUUUCACGUAGGUUUCGUCGUCCAUGAUUAUGCAGUUCAAAUUUCCAGCAAGAAUUGUAUUGUACAGCUUUGGAACCCUCGGUCUGAUCGAUGCUUCUUGUUUCGGACUACGUUUUGGUUGUUUCUGCUUCUGAUAGGUUUGAAGAUUCCAACGUUCUUUAGCACGAAGAACGUUUCACUUCGAAGUGCCCACUUUUUUGGCCACAUUCCGAUCUGAAACCUCCUUUUUUUGCUCGAACGCCUUCAGUAUACAUUUAUCCAACUGAGGGUUAGCAGGACCUUUUUUCGACCCGUUUUCGGUUUAUCCUCAAAGGUGUUAUCCUCACCGAACUUCCUGAUUGCAUUUCGCACGGCUUUUUCACUCACUCCUUCCAUUUUUGCUAACUUUCUCAGUGACAGCCCGCGUUCUGUGCACCAUUUGUACACAAUUUUUCGACGUUGUUCUGCUGAAAGUCCACAUAUUUCGAAACAAACUAAUGAAAACGAAUAAACAACUGCACAAGUGGUUAGAAAAACCAGUCGGUGUUGAACAGUCGUUCUCACCGCACUCUUGCCUCCUGGAAAUUUUUUCUGGUUACCUAGCGUUUCAUUGAUUCAAGGCUUCAGUCUUUUUUAAGGCUACCUGAAUCACCAAUAGUCUUUCUAAAGACUAAAAAUUAGUCAGCCUUUCUCAAGGCUCAAAGAGUGAUAUUAGAGUGACUAAGAAAUUAAUCAGCCUUUUUAAGGCUAACUAU